UAUGUUGAACACUGUGAGGCGUUACAUACAUCCAAGUAUUUAUCUUGUGUUCCCUCCGUGGUACUAUUUAUAUGAUAUUUAGAAGUGUCCGAACACUGACAGUUUUCUGACGUUGUUGCUAACUUUCCAUUACAAGUACUCAGAGUUGGUUUGUUCCGUAAUGAUGAAGUGAACAAUCUUUUUUGCAGGUGUCAUGGUAGAAAAAGUUGUUUCCAUUAACCCUGAUUUCAUAACGUGUUUUCCAGAUCCUUGUCAAGACCUCAGGAUGAACUUAGCAGCAGUCAUGAAUAGGGGCGGAUAUCCUGUUGAUACGCAGGUGUCCUGUAAAGAAAUAGUGUGUUCCCUGACAACAAUGGUCUUGAUCUUGGAGUACUGCAAGCAUUCAGGUUCCUUCAAGAUCCUGAAGCACUUAACAGUGGUCGGUAAUGGGGGACAUUUCUUGUGUCCAGGU